CCUACGGGAGACUGCAGUCGAGAAUCAUUCACAAUGGGGGAAACCCUGAUGGUGCGACGCCGCGUGGGGGAAUGAAGGUCUUCGGAUUGUAAACCCCUGUCAUGUGGGAGCAAAUUAAAAAGAUAGUACCACAAGAGGAAGAGACGGCUAACUCUGUGCCAGAAGCCGCGGUAAGACAGAGGUCUCAAGCGUUGUUCGGAAUCACUGGGCGUAAAGCGUGCGUAGGCUGUUGCGUAAGUAGUGUGUGAAAGGCGCGGGCUUAACCCGCGGACGGCACAUGAUACUGCGAGACUAGAGUAAUGGAGGGGGAACCGGAAUUCUCGGUGUAGCAGUGAAAUGCGUAGAUAUCGAGAGGAACACUCGUGGCGAAGGCGGGUUCCUGGACAUUAACUGACGCUGAGGCACGAAGGCCAGGGGAGCGAAAGGGAUUAGAUACCCCAGUAGUC
rnacentral:rRNA from 1 species